AGUGAACGCUGGCGGUAGGCCUAACACAUGCAAGUCGAACGGCAGCACAGUAAGAGCUUGCUCUUACGGGUGGCGAGUGGCGGACGGGUGAGGAAUACAUCGGAAUCUACUUUUUCGUGGGGGAUAACGUAGGGAAACUUACGCUAAUACCGCAUACGACCUACGGGUGAAAGCAGGGGAUCUUCGGACCUUGCGCGAUUGAAUGAGCCGAUGUCGGAUUAGCUAGUUGGCGGGGUAAAGGCCCACCAAGGCGACGAUCCGUAGAUGGUCUGAGAGGAUGAUCAGCCACACUGGAACUGAGACACGGUCCAGACUCCUACGGGAGGCAGCAGUGGGGAAUAUUGGACAAGGGGCGCAAGCCUGAUCCAGCCAUACCGCGUGAGUGAAGAAGGCCUUCGGGUUGUAAAGCCCUUUUGUUGGGAAAGAAAAGCAGCAGGUUAAUACCCCGCUGUUCUGACGGUACCCAAAGAAUAAGCACCGGCUAACUUCGUG
rnacentral:rRNA from 1 species